GUGCUUGCUUUGGCGGCACAUAUACUAAAAUUAGAAUAAUAUGGAGAUUAGCAUGGCCCCUGUGCAAGGAUGAUAUGCAAAUUCAUGAAGCACUCCACAUGUUU
ensembl:snRNA U6 U6 spliceosomal RNA